rnacentral:lncRNA from 1 species
CUAGCCAUUCAGAAUCCUGAGGUGUAUGUUGGCUGUAGCAUAUUCAUUGUAGGAACCAGAUUAAACCAAGAUGGGAUCUAUCAACUUCGGUAGAUGAGAGGAGUAGUCCUAUGAUGAUCGAAAGAUCGAGUCCUUAAGCGCAUGGCCAUGACAGAGUGAAAUAAUCGAAAAGAGUUUUCUUUUGGGGUUUCACAUCAGACUCGGAUCAAUCGAUUGAUU